GCAGGAAGAGAUGCCCACCAAAGCCGUGGUUUCUAAAUCUGGAGGAAAGAAGUCUGUGUUUGACAAAGAGCUGACGAACACCAGCACCAAGGCCCUGAAGCACUACAGAGCCGGGCCGUCCUUCGAAGACAGGAAGCGUCUCGGUAUCGACAGAAAGCGUCCUGGUGGCUCCAGGUUCAAGAAGAAGAAGUGAACCAAGAUGGCCGCCGUGAAGCCGUUUUCUCCUCCGUGACUCGUCCACUUCGUCUCCGUGUAAAUCUCUUCCAGUUUUGUUCAUUUAACAAGUUUUAAAUAAAGUAUCGAUCUGUAUUCAAUAAAACGCGUCCGUAGUUGCUUCUACAGGCGAACAUGUCAGUACAGUGGGCCUUAAAUCAUAGAAAUGUAAAGGAAUCAUAGUAUUUUGUGAACAUUAAAAAAAUGGUGUGGUGUAUUGUAAAGAAUCGCUUGUAAGAGAAUGUCGGAAAAAGUUAAAAUAAAACGCAAGAUGUC